rnacentral:rRNA from 1 species
AUGAACCCAGGUUAUGAGGACAGAUUUCACAACGAAUAUUUCUGGAGGCAACCACAAGAGCUCAUUAGUGAACCGGCUCUAGAUGUUUCGAUCCCGUGCUUGCGAAAUCGGCUGAGGAGUAUCAACUUCGUGCACUACCAGGGCGACGACCGACAAAAAUAUCUAGCCAACCUGCUGCUUUGUAAUGCGAUGGUUCUGGAACAAGUGUGUGUUGCCUUUCCAAGGGGUGAACAUAAGUUGCUGACUAGACUCAAGAAGGAAGUCGAAGGAUGGUUGGUGAAUAAAUCAGCAAAGGUGAUAUUCCUGUAA